rnacentral:rRNA from 1 species
CCUACGGGUGGCAGCAGUGAGGAAUAUUGGUCAAUGGGCGUGAGCCUGAACCAGCCAAGUCGCGUGAGGGAAGACGGUCCUAUGGAUUGUAAACCUCUUUUGUCGGGGAGCAAAAGACGCCACGCGUGGCGUUCCGAGAGUACCCGAAGAAAAAGCAUCGGCUAACUCCGUGCCAGCAGCCGCGGUAAUACGGAGGAUGCGAGCGUUAUCCGGAUUUAUUGGGUUUAAAGGGUGCGCAGGCGGAAGAUCAAGUCGACGGUAAAAUUGAGAGGCUCAACCUCUUCGAGCCGUUGAAACUGGUUUGCUUGAGUGAGUGAGAAGUAUGCGGAAUGCGUGGUGUAGCGGUGAAAUGCAUAGAUAUCACGCAGAACUCCGAUUGCGAAGGCAGCAUACCGGCGCUCAACUGACGCUCAUGCACGAAAGUGUGGGUAUCGAACAGGAUUAGAUACCCCAGUAGUC